ensembl:lncRNA
CUUCAGUGUAACAAAACCUCCUUUAACUCAACUGGAUCAUGACCCUUUCAUCUCCUGCAGCAUCCAGUUAUUGCUUACUGGGCUGAGAGUGUGGCAGCAGGCAUGAAAGCAAGAGAUCAAAACCACACGGGUUUUACUGUUGAAAGCGGAUGUGAAGGAGGACGCAAUAUAAGCAAAAUCCAAGCACCUCGGAGAAGCUGGUCCAUAACACCAGCAAUAAAAAUGAGGGAAUUACUGGACCGAGAGAAAAUCACCUUGCCCUCCUGCUCAAAAAUGAGUAAAUUUUCACUCUUCCCCUACAAUAAUAUUUUAUGGUGCCGUAUUUUAUGCCCCAAGUCCAAACUCGGACUUUCGUUGUGGGUCCCAAAGCACACAGGAGAGGACAGAGGUGGUGAGGAAGGUGUGUGCAGCAGCUCGGUGCCUUCAGGGCACAGGUGAUGGGGCUGCGGUGGCCUUGAGGGCUUGUGCUUGCUCUUGUCUUCACAGAUGAAAUUGCUUCUGAAACUACUUAGCUUUCUGGAUAAUCUCCCUCCUUUGCAUGCAGUGCAGCCUCCUCUGAGCCAAGCUGUCCUUCACGCUGCGGUUUGUAAGAAGACCAAUACAGAUCUGAUUAUAUAUCCCAGCUAUUUCUAUGGAAGGACUCUCAGGGUAAUGAAUCUGGUAUUAAGUAAGGCACUUAAAGAUGCUUGUUAUUACUGUAGUUUGAUACUGGUAUAGCAGCAGCAAUGUACAGCCCAGUUUGGAGAGGCUUCAGGCACUGGAGAUCACACAAGCCAGUUCAAGCAAUUCAGUUUUGUCCGUGCUGUGUGGAAAGAUGAGAAAGCUUUAGAUUGCACUUCUGGUGAGCGAGACAUCAUGAAGGGAGUGGAAUAAGACAAGGAAAAGUGUAAAUACAGCAAGCAUCUAUUGCACAACUUUCCAAAACCAGAUCAGUUCUGUGGAUGUGGAAGAGCAAGGGGCCUCUGAGCACACUGCUCCAACUGAAAGUUCGUCAAAAGCAGAUUACAGCCUUGAGAAUAUUGCUGUCCAGGGUCAGGUGUAGCCCUGAUGAAGUCAAGGAGAAUUCAAAGCCAGUUGAAAAAAAUAUAAUAUAAUAAAGCACAGAAAUUACCAGCAGAAGUAUUUAAGCCUGAAAGAGAUCUCAUUGAAGUGAUCAACAAAACCUGGGCUCAUAAGUUUCAAAGCCGUUCGCUCAUACUGCAUAGAGCUGUUAUUUUCCAGAACGUGUUUAAUUCUCAUACACAUUCUCUCAAAUGAAAGGUAUGCCCCAGAUUUCGGCACCUCCUCUGCUUCUACUCCACUGACCCUGCAAGAAAUCAUCUUAUUCAGCUUGUUUCCACACCUGGCUUUCUUCUUCUGCAGGAUGUCAAAACGCAGAGCAGAAUGUACCCAAGAAUAUAUAUCCUUUUCUCUCUCCCUCUUCGGCUCUCAAUCUGGUGAAUGGAUGUGCAUUUUCUGGGUCUAUGGGCUUACUAAUAAGAAAGACUGACAAAGAAGAGACAUGAAUUCUGGUCCUGAGGUACACAGCUCCUGUUGCACAGCCUUAUUCCACCCUAGACAUAGCUUCUUAAAGCUAAAGUUUCUUAAAGAUGAAAAAACAGGAGGAGAAAGAGUUUGGAUUUAUUGACCUUUUUGCAAUUCAUAGCCUGUGAUACCCCCCAUCAUCUGCCAGACUAUACAAAACCCCUCUGCCACCUCCUGCAGACACUGCACUGCAGAGGCAGAUCUGUUCAGAGAUGAUAUUUGUGAAAGCAAACCUCGUGCUCAGAACCCAAAUCCAAAUCUUAUGUUUUUCCAACCUGCAAAACAUCUGCAGCUGGGUUUGGAUUUCUGCACUGUUCUUCACUCAAUAGCUGCUAGUUAUUUUAACUCUUGAUCUCCAAGAUAUUCCUGUGUGAAGAUACCAAAUACCCAGCUGAGUUGACAGAGAGUCAAGAAGGAGGCACCUGCUGAGCAGUGUUAAAUGCUGUGCACAGCUUACCAUGGCCUCUGUAGGGCAGGGAGAUACCCAGCAGCAAGGCAGCUUUUGGGGGAGGCCAGAAGGAAAAAAUCCCAGGAAACCUCUUAUAACUUGCACAGUUGUUAAACUUUGCCCAGAUAAACUGUGUUCUAUUAAACUUUCCUUUGGCUGGCAAAGGACUGACUGAGUUAUUGUGGAGAACGGCCUUGAGCAAUUAGAAGUGAGAACAGCAUCUACAAAUCUAAGAUCUGGGAGAUGAAAAUCUCUUGCAUAAGACGCAGCCCUACGGAGUUUCAGUUAUAGCCUUCUCAAAUGGGGAGAACCAAAUUAAAUGAAAAAACAUAUUGUAUAUUAUCUUAAUUUAUAUAUGAGAUUUUAGACAGUUCCAGAUUUCUGGAUUAAAUACAAUACCAUGUGGCUCCAUUAAGCUUCACUGGCCUUUUAGAAUAUUAUUGGAAGAAAUAAUAUAUAACAGUUUGAAAGGUUUUUGGAUGCUUGGUGGCAUCAUUAUGCAAUUUAUUAAUAUGUGGGCAGAGUGACUAAUGCCUCUGAGGAUAUAUUUUUAGUUUCAAAAAAAUAAAUAUAAAAAAGAAAAGUGUGCUGGGGGGAGCAAGAAAGAAAACUGGUUUGUGCUAGCAGCCUGUGGUGGCAUGCAUCAUUCUGUCUGCUCCCCUCGAGCCCAGAGCUUGCAAUAAACCACUUCUUUCACUUAUGGCAUUUGCAGAGGGGUCUGGAGACUCCAGAAAUUGCACUUUGGUAGGGCUUGGGUAUCCAGCUCCUUUUGUGGCAUCGUUCCCCUGUUUUUAAGGCUGAAAGGGACAAUUCAGAUCAUCUCGUCUAAUGCUCGAUAUAAACCCACAAGAAAAUAACUUUGCACAUACACUCACUAAUUGAGCCAACCAGUGUACAUUUCACCAGAGUCAUCUGGGCUGGCCUCCAGUUCUUCAGUACGAGGAUGACAAAUCCCCUGCCCCCUUCAACACUCUGUCCCAGCACUCAGCUCCCUUUCUCUCUCCAAUCUCUGCAUUUUGCCUGUCUUAAAUUUCCACUCACUGCAUCUCGUUAUGUUUUCCUCCAUUAGGCUAUAAAGGCCCUUUGUAUGCAGUAUUUUUUCCUGCAAAGGCAUUUACUGCAUAGCCAGGUCGCUGCGUGAUCUGCUUUUUGCUACACAUAACCGAGUGGAGCUCCUUAAGUCUCUCUCCACAAGAUUUCCUCCUCCAGCCCCCAAAUCAUCCUUGUAAAACCCAACCGUAGGCUGAGAGUUUACAGCCUCUAUCAUGACUUCAAGUCCCUGAAUCUCAGGUUAAUAAAGUCUCUACUUUUUUUCAUAAGGCUUCUGUGAAAUAACUAGAAAUAGUCCCACGGGAUGUGUUAUUUGGACGUAACUGCUUCCACAUGGGCUGGAGGUGCAGCCCAGCGAGAGGAGCACGCCAAGAGCAGUGGGAGAGCCCUCACCUCUCUCCUCACCCCUCUCUUCAGCGUCCCCCAAACUGCCAAAACCAGUAUUUUUCUGGGAGGGUUGAUCCCCGUGGGCAUUUCCUAGGUCUCUAGGAAGAAGCAGCUCCCAAGGAAGCUGCAUCCUCCAGCUCCAGCCCCACCAAGGCCAGGCCCCAUCUCUGGCAGGAGCAGAGGCACUGACAGGGCCUUGGUACAUCCCUCUCCACAAACUGCUCCGUCCAGGGGCCUGGAAGGACAGCUAUAACUUCUCUCCAAUCCCACCAGAGCCCCUCUUUCCUUCCAGACUAAUAGGAUUAAAAACAAACACCACCAGUGGGGGGGACAGAAAGAGGAGGGUUCUUCCCCAUCCUUUUCCAGCGUCGAUGUCCACACUUGGAAGCUGUUUCUUACAAUAAUUAUUUUACUUGCUGCUAAAAGAUGGGGGAGGCUCACAGGAGGCGUGGCUUUCAAUCUUUGAAGAACACAUCCCAGUGUUGCCAUAAUUUCAGCACAAUGGGAAGCCACGGUGAACACGAGGCAAUCUCCUCAGGCACUGGAGUUACGUUUCAGUGCUCCAUAGCUUUUGAAUGGGAUAAUAUCUGGCCUUUUCAUCAGUCGUGUUUGAUUUAUAUGUGAGAAUACACAACAAAUUAGGAGCCUAAAAGAAACGACAACUUAGUUUUCAUUCAGCAUGGCCUUUAUAUACCCCAAAGGGACAAACUUACUCCUGCGUCUCCACUUUAACCUAAGAUUUCAAAUGCAAUCAUGACUGAUAAAGUACUCUAAUGAAUUGGGCCAUCACCAGCCUUGUCACUUCUAAACAAUUUGUGUCCUGGUUUGAUCUGUUUGGUUUUUGCUGUUCAGCUUUGCUUCCAACAUCUGUGAUUCAAGCACAGUGAGAGUCCUUUGAGAUUUGACGUUCACUUCCCUUCAGGCCACUUUCAAUCACCCAAAAAUGCCUGUGAGGUGGCCUGACAUCUUCCUGUGACUUCAGAGCUUUCCAGUCCCAUCUUCACUAUUUGGCUUAAAAAGAAUAAGUAAAUCACCUCUGAUGAGAGACCAUCCGUUUAAAAGCAAGUGUAAUAGGUGGUAAAAUCAGAGUAAACCACAUUGCUAGUGAGUUGUCCACAAAAACACAUAAAACCUAUGGUUUAGAAGAACUUGCCUUUGCUUAGUGAGAUCUAACACACUUGUUACACCUAAAAAGUAAUGCAGGCUUGUGAAAGUAGCCUGCAAAGUCUCUUUGAUGAAAAGUAAAUUCUGUGGUCAGGUGUAAAAUUUUAAAUUUUCAUGACAAGCUCAACUGCACAAAAAAAUCUUUGAAAUAUCAGUAUUAGGCAAAGCCUAAGAGCAUGGAUGUUUAGUGGGAGCGGGCAGGAAAGGGUCAAAAAUAUAAAUGCAUUUGCAUGGAAAGCAAAUAAAAAUAUUCUUUAAAGGGAAAGAAUAUUAGUGGAUGUUUUCUAAUGGUCACCAUUCACCCUGAUCAUUCUUUGCACUCCACUUGCCAAAGGCAUAUGGCUUUAAUUCUGUUCGUGAUCAAUGUAAUGUUUAGAGUUUCAUCUACUUGAACGAUUCUUCAGGGACUGGUUGCAAUAGCUAAAUUUUGGGUCUAAAUUACAAUUUAUAAAAAAACAAAAAAAAACUACAACUGAAUCUAACCAAUGACUGAAACUGGAAAGGAUAAAAUUAGAUUCCUGAACCUUCAUCUCUUUUUAGAACCAGACACGAAAAAAAAACUGUAUCCAGUUUUGUUAAAUAUUUUUUCCACAUCUGGUGUUCAGUCAAAACCAUAAGAAAAGUGCUGGAAAUCUCACAAGAAGUCUCGUACUCUUGUGAUUUCCAGUCCAAUUUUUGCAGCCACAGGAGAUCUGUAUAGUUCAGAUAAGAAUCCGAAGCAGAAGCCAAACCCAAACUGCGAACCCCCUGAGGCUCACCCCACCCACAACAGCUUAUGUCUUUACCCAUCAUUUGCAGCAGAUGUUCUCCUAAAUUCUCCAGUGAGAUAAAUUCCAUUAGAAGUUUCAGGAUAAAGAUUAUAAGCUAUAUGCAAUGCAAAAUAAAAGUGUCCAAAGAAGCUCACUGUAGCCCAUUAAGCUAUUGUUAAAGACGCUCGUACACCAGUGUCUAUUGAUUACAGUGGUUUGCUUUUCCUUACUACUCGUUUUUCUGUGUUGGGCUUUUGGGGCUUUUUGAUCUAAAGGCCACUGACGUCAAUGAGAGUACUUCCAUUGUCUUCAGUGGGCUUUGGAUCAAGCCCUUGACAAACAGUUUCUCCCAUAGGUCAGUCUGUAGAGUGCACGUUACUGCCAGCAGAUUGUCCCUAGAACAUUUCACUGUAGAUUUACAGUCUUUAUAAAAUUUUUAAAUGAAGUUCUAUAGUUAGAUUCAUAUGGUAUAUCAUAAAUUACAGCAGACUCUGCAAGCUUGGGUUUGAGAGCUUUUUUUUUUUUUUUUUCAUUUGGCUCUCAGGGAACAUAUAGUUUUUUUCCACAAGAGCUUUUCUCCAAAUGCUAAUUUUACCUGCUUUUUUUUUUUGCCAUUUGUGCAACAGAAUGUGUGUGUUUCUCAAGGCUCAGCUCCCCGGGGAAAGUUUGUGACUGUGGCAGAGGUGGUGAUGUGAGCAAGCAGAGGCUCACCAACACCAUCCCAGUCCUAGAGGGUAGAAGAAACCGUUCUUAGGGCUCUACACUGAUGCUCGUGAGACUAGUUGAAAGGAAAAGCAAGCCAGAACUUUGAGCAUUCUUCUGUGUUAAGGUGUAGUUAAAGCUGAAAGUUGAUUUCUAUCUAUGAGAGGAGUAUCUACCACCCGACUAUCCCAUCAGACUACUGAAUGGCAAACCCCUGCAGAGGGAAUGACCUUCAAGCAGUGCCUCAUGUACACAAACACCAAUUUUAACUGUACCUCUGCAAUCUUCAUACAUCCCAAGGUGGCCAGGCAAACGUGACAGCAGGACACAAGGGGUCAGCCCUCAGGAACCCCAGUCCUAAUUCAGAUUUCCCAUCACCACAGCCUAAAUCAAAGAAUUCGAGUGGCAUUACCUCGCUCAUCUGCAAAGUGGGAGUAAUAAUCCCACAGUACCUCCUCAGAAAUGCUGCAAGGCCAUGAACUCUGUCUGCACAGAGUAGUAGUGUUCAGUAGUAAAUGAAAUCUGUUUUCACUUCUAAGGCUAUGGCAUAAAUUACUAUAGGCAGAAAUCCAGCCUAGCAGGGAAUGAAUUGGAUGGGGCCCACUCAGUUUCUUCCAUCUUUAGCUUUGAUUUUCAUUGUUCUGUUUCAUUAGCAGAAUUUUCAUGUCUUUUUUUCGUUUUCUUUUUCUUCCCUGUUGUAAUUUUUCCUAAGUUGUUAAUUUGCCAGCAGAAAGAAUGGCCUCAUAAUUGUAAGUCAGCUUCUCCAAGCACCCACAAGUAUCUAAAAUGUUUUUAGCAGACUCAGCAUUUCUCUACUUCUCAGUCCUUGCAUAUACAGCAAAAGAGGAUGAAGAAAGUACGUUGCUGUGUUCCUGCUCUCCAGCCAUUUGUUGCAUUUAAUUCUGCAGACCAUGCCUUUAAGGGCCUGCUGAUGAAUAUCAGCACAACUCCCACCCAGUCAACGAUUCUGGGUGUCAAUGGAGUCAUUGAGUGGCAACUGGCACUGCUGGUUUUCAAGGUCAUCAAAAUCACCCUUCUUUCCACAUGCCCUUGGCUAGUUGGAUGGUCCAUGGCCUUCCUGAAAACAGACGUGACAUGGGAAAGCCUUUCUUUCCUCUGUUCUCUGCUUUGUUCAUUUUAUUUUAUGCAACAAGGGGGAAUGGUUUUAAACUGAGACGGGAGGUUUAGGUUGGAUAUUAGGAGGAAGUUUUUCCCCCAGAGGGUGGUGACGCACUGUUCCCAGGUUGCCCAAGGAGGCUGUGGAUGCCCCAUCCCUGGAGGCAUUCAAGACCAGGCUGUAUGUGGCUCUGGGCAGCCUGGGCUGCUGGUUGGCAACCCUGCACAUAGCAGGGGGGCUGACACUAGAUGGUCAUUGUGGUCCUUUUCAACCCAGGCCAUUCUAUGAUUCUAUGAUUAUCUUUAAGAAAACAUAUUGCCUCUGCUCAUGCCACCUCCACAAGCAGGAGACUGGGGGGAAUGCCCAGCUAAAACCACCAGGGGGUAUCAGAAUGCUCAGGUGACUUAUCCAGCUCUCCCCUUUGCCCUCCCAGUCCCCGAUCCCUACCAGAGCCUGACUCCACUCUUGGCCUCUUCCCAGUCACCGUGUCAGAGGCUGCCUUUAUGCUGCAGAUGAACAGAUGUUUCACCACUGAGAGCUGCAUCCUCUGACUCAUGAAACAAUUUGAAAGAAAUUAACAGGGACAAAUUUGUUUCAAAUCCUAUUUUCCCCCCAGUAGCAGCGUUUGUGACUGCCUAUGAGCGCUCCCACUGGAAAGAGAACUGGAAAGAUAAAAAUAGAUGAGACGAAUGAAAGAUUACAGGAUGAAGUGAUGGCCACUUCCCAGCCGAACAGGAUUCACUGCUCAAGGCUGACAAAGUCUCUGCUGAGUUUGGGGUUUAGCAGCAGAGAAACUGCUCCAUAAUUUUUGUUCAGCCAAGCUCUCUGGGAAGCAACACCUGGCCUUGUAGUAUUUCCUCAGGGCCCUGAAAGAGUGGAUGUUUGAUGACGACCUCUGCAGGAACCUCUCCAGGUGACAUCGAUCAGGUUGCUGGGGCUGGAUAACCGAGGCUUUAUGGAGCAAAAGUGAGAACGCUGAAGUGGAAACCAGCGCCUAAUGCAGCUGUGGUGCCCCAUGCCUUCCCUGCCUCAUCUCAGAUGCCCUGAAAUAAUCAACCAGCUGUUUGCUGCAGGGAAUUAGGGAAGGGCACGUGGCAGGACAUUAUCUGCCCAAACUUCAGAUUUCCUCUGAAGUUUGCAUGCAUCUGUCAUGAAGGCACUGUUUAGUCUCCACUUUUGAGAUAAGAAAGCUCAGGCACAGGUAAGUUAAGAAUUCAAUCCUAGUCUCCAAGCCAGAAAUAAAGUUCAUUAGUCCUGCAUCCAUGGGGAGCCCUUCACUUCCAUCUCAUCUGAACUGCCAUACGACAAUCUCUGUCAAAGGCGUCUCAAAAGAGGAGAUCAAUUCCAUAGUGGUUUUACUCUUUGGGAACACAAACAAGCCCUCCAUUAGGAACUAUAAUUUAUCUGACUGUGACCACUGACUACGGGUCUAUGAAAUAUAUCUGAAUGGAUUGCAUGGAGCCAGAAAACUCAAGUAUAUAUGGCACACACAUAACAAAGCUCUGCAAAUCUGAAAAUGCACAGUAUCAGCAAGUGCUCUGGUUUUCUAGACUGAUUUGUAGGUAGGUAGGCUUAGCUGAAGGCUGCGGUUUCUAAAUUGGACAUGGUUACCUAAAACUAUUGGAAAUUUGAAUUGCAUGUCAGAUGUCUGGAAUAAAUGGACUCAAGAGACGUAAGAAAAAACAUGUGGCCUGGUAUUUUUCUCUUAUUUAAUGUCUUUUGGAAACUGUUUAGAUAUCAUCUGGGGCUUGUAUAGUUUCUUUGUUUAGUAAUUCUGAAUUGAAAUUCUUUAUGAAGCUUUGUUAAUUAAAAGGUAAAAAUCUUGAUUGUUGCACAGAGGCCUUCAUCCUGAAAGAUGCCUGUAUGCUUUCCAAAAACAUACUAUACUUUCCAAAGAAGUAAAGCAUCCUUUGAAAACCAGGCGGCUCGGUUACGUUAUUUACCUCAAAUCCACCAAAUUUAAAUUCCAAGACAGACCAUUAUGGUCUGACUCUCUUUCUAGCUCUGCCAAUAGCUGUCAUAUCUGAGCUCCUGCAUGACUGCGAAGCUCCCCCCGAGGCCCUCGUCGUGAGGCUGACCCAGGGCUGCACAUCUUUAGCAAGAACAUCCGAUGCAAUUAUGAAGAUUACAAGCAAUAGAUUUCCUGCAAAUUGCAGCCAUCUCUGGGGUGAAAUAUGUCACCUGCUCCAUAGCACACAGCUGCAUCCUCCCACCACGUAAAACCAAAUGGAGACAUGAAGGCACCUUUCUGCAAGCAGAGCAGAGUCUGAGUCGGGAACCAUCUGAAAUGCUUCCCAUUACAGCACAAUCUUUGUUUCUAAAAGAGAAGGAAUUUCAGAUCUGCCACUCUUGGAGAUGAUGCACAGCUUUCUCAUGCUCACACUGAGGUCUCUCACCUCCAGUUUUCAUUGCCAUAACCUUCACGUUACUGUUUGCUUAUUUGAAUUCAACCCAAUCACCUGACCACUCUUGCCUAGUAAGUGCCAGGGACAAUGCAGAUCUCAAAAGAUUUGAAGCUUUUCAGCUUUACUUUUUUCCUUGUGUACCUUCUGACCGGUUCCAAUGCCUGCUACGGUGCAGCCUCCUAAUCUCAAAGGAUGGAACACAACACAUGGUGGGAAAUGAGAGUGGUUGGAAAAACAACUCAUCCCCAGAACUCAGUUAAUUUUGACCUAAUAUUGUUCUACAAAGUCCCAGUGACUGGACUAAGAGACUUGAACUGUACAGCUCUUAAUCUAGCAAGGGUGCAUGCCUUUGCAGAGGUGUUGGAAUAGAUGGCCUUCAGAGGUCCCUUCCAACUCCAAGGAUUCUACGAUGCAGUGCUAAGGCCUAGGUUGCUGAAAAUGGCAAAAGAACAGCAAUAAUGACUUUUUGCUCUAUGACAUCUCUUCCUCUCCAAGUUUUUGAGUACUGUGGUAAAGGCAGAGAAACUACCUACUGUCCAGGCAAACCCCGCAUCUCCUGUCAGCAAGAACGUGUGGUAGUUGCUGCAGCUGAAGCUAUGUUUUCUGAAGGCUUUAAACUACACCAGCUAAAGCAGAGUUAAUGACAACAUAUAAAUGUCAUUGGAAGAAAAAAUACUGCCUUUGUAUUUGCUUCUUUUGUGGUAUUAAGGAAUCUCCAUCCAGCCUUGGCUUUUGGAUAUAUAUAGGUCUGUGCAGAUUUGGCAGGGUGAAACCACCACGGGUAAGAAAGGACAAAAACUUUUGGAAGGGCUCUGCCACCCCCCUCUUUCCCACUCCCAGCACACAGGCAUGCCAAAACAUUAUGGUUCCUUUUAGACCCGCGUAAUUAAAUGAGUGAUGAGGAAUUUCUCACCAAUAUAAAACUGAAUUAUUUGCAGCUUAAAAUAGAACGGUGCCUUUGUUAGUUUUUUUUGUUUUGUUUUUUUGGAAGCAGCAUGGCCAGGUCGUCAGCUGGUGUCAAUCAGCCCAUUCUGGGAUAGAAGGUUUUGCUCCCUGGGGACAAUGCAGGAGCACUGGGACAAAUGUGGUCCAACCACAGCAGGCCUGAGAUUGGGAAUGGUCCUUUAUGGUGACCAGAGGAGAAGCAGUUCCUGUAAUACUCCUUUUUUUUUUUUUUUUUCUGACAAGUUCUUGUGUUGGACAGGAAUCCUCACCCAGGGCACGGGGUGACUGCAGGGAAGCCCACGCAGAUUCUCUCCCAGUGCAACAGACAGUCUGGGCUCGUGCUUGCCAAAUGUUGAGAGCAGCAGCUCGAUUUAUGAGCCCCGGGAGCACACCGAGCUCCCGCUGAUGAGCUGCACGGCAGAGGAGCCAGGGUUAGCUGAAACACUGCAAGAGAGCAGAGGCACCGAUAGGGGCCAGGAGAGCCAGCUGGGCUCAGAGGUGUACAGACCAACUGUAUCCAACGGUACCAACUACAGAAUAGGGAAAAAAAAAAUAAUAAAAAACACACACACACACAAAAAACCCAACAAAAUGGAACAAAGUGGGGACUGGGGGCUUUUUGCCCUCAUCUCCUCACUUUUUAUGGGUGAGAAACAUUGCUCACUCUGCACUGCCUGGGGCUUGCUGAGCUUGCAGCAGGAGCAACCCCUGCGUGAGCAGGGUGCAAACAGAGGGGGCAAGAGAGCCAUAAGGAAGGUGAAUAAAUAGAAUGAAGUACAACAGCAGAAGAAAAAUCCUGGAGGAGAUGAGGAAAAGAGGAACUUGUCCACAGGGUGUCACUCUUGACCCACACUUGGGUCACACAGACUGGAGAUUUCAGUCCCCCAAACGAACCUCCAAGGCAGCAGAAGCCUCCAAAAACCAGAGCAGCACUACCAGGAGAGCAGCUUGUGCCCCCACCUGCCCCUCCUGCCCCACUCUGCACCUUACCUUGGCCUUUCCCAGGGGCAGGAUUUGUCUGGGGAUCCUCUUAUACGAAGCUGGAAGGAAAUCCCCAUUACCAAACUCUUUUUCACCAUUCUGCUUAAGUCUACCACCCCAUCUCAGCCCAUUUUAAUCUGUUUUGAAAUUCCUCUGUCCUCCUGAACCACCAGCCUACCUUUUCACCUUAGGAAACCUCCUGGUUCUCAGGCCCUGCCACCUAGAAGGUGCAACAGUACUGCUUUAUGGCAAGUCCUGAACCAGCUUAAUUUAAGUGCUGAUAAGCUUCAGGUCAUUACUGCUUAUUGGAAACAGGUUCUUCAGAUUGGUUGGAUGGGUUCUUUAGUUAAGGAGAAACACUAUGAAUUAUCACCUUGCUUUCUCCAUUGAGCUGCAGGCUGUGGUGGGCAGGAGGGCAAAGCAGGGGCUGAGCCAGCUCACAGGGAAGGCUGAAAGCAGAGAACCCUGACCUCCUGCUGAGCUGAUGGGUGUCUGUGCUGCUGUAUCAGCUGCAGGGGCAGUGUACAUGCCGGGCUCCCCAUGGCCAUAUAGGGGGAUAGAGUCAGAGACCGGGAGCAGAGGGGGACGUGGAUGCUGGGGUCAGCAGCACAGCAGCCACAGCACAGGCUGCAACUUUUACAAAGCAUCAGCAGAGCAUGAAUUAUGGCGUGACCUCCUGGCAAGUUUCCUGGAGCAGAGGACACACCAGCAAGAAUGUGAUCUCCUCUUCCAGGGCUGGUCGGGACAGGAUUUGUGUGUAGUGUGUACAGCACAUAAUUCAUCAGACAUUUACAUAGCAUGAGCUCAGCACUGCAGCGCUCUCUGGCAGUCUGAAAUACCCUGCUGGGGGCUUGCAGCUCGGUGGGUGCACCACACAAGGCAGAUACACCCCAAAAGGGAUGCUGUCCCCUCUCACGACUCCACGCUCUGCUUGGAGGAGGCGCUCCCAAAGGCUCUACACCCAUUAAUCUCACCUGUCGGCAGCUCCCUCGUUUCUGCAGUGAGCUCACUGUUUUGCCCCAGGACAGUGUUUUUAGGUGUGCUCAGUAUAAUUUGCAUGGUUUUCUUUCAGGCCAUCUUCCUUAAUGUGGCUGUCCCGAGCUUUUAUGGAAACACCUGCAAUAUGUAAACGCAAAAGUAUAAAUCUCUGUAAUGUGAAAAAAGCAGCUUUGGGAAGCCGUAAAAGAAUGCAGCCAUGUGACUGCAAAACUUCAUUUACAAGUAUCUAAAUAUAGAUCAUAGCAAGCAGCAAACCCAGACUUCAAUUUUAAAAGCGAGGGCACAGGGGAGAGUGCAGAGUCAGCACUUCUUAAAUAAGAAGUUCUUCUCGUACUAAUUCAUUUACAGAGGCAUCUUCUUUUGACACAGCAAAUUUGCAUUACUGAAUCCUGAUCACAGAGACAUAAAGAUUUUUAUGGGAG